AGGGAGCAUCUAAGAGAUGAGAUGCUUUCUGAUGACAAUAUUCCUACAGAAAAUUCGGAUGUUUCCUCAAGUCUUGUAUCUUCAGAUACAUGA